rnacentral:rRNA from 1 species
UACAGAGGGGGCAAGCGUUGUUCGGAAUUACUGGGCGUAAAGGGCGCGUAGGCGGCCUUCUAAGUCGAACGUGAAAUCCCCGGGCUCAACCCGGGAACUGCGUCCGAUACUGGAAGGCUUGAAUCCGGGAGAGGGAUGCGGAAUUCCAGGUGUAGCGGUGAAAUGCGUAGAUAUCUGGAGGAACACCGGUGGCGAAGGCGGCAUCCUGGACCGGCAUUGACGUUGAGGCGCGAAAGCCAGGGGAGCAAACGGG